ACGGGAGAGUAACACGUGGGAACGUGCCCUUCAGUUCGGAACAACCCAGGGAAACUUGGGCUAAUACCGGAUACGUCCGAAAGGAGAAAGAUUUAUCGCUGAAGGAUCGGCCCGCGUCUGAUUAGCUUGUUGGUGAGGUAACGGCUCACCAAGGCGACGAUCAGUAGCUGGUCUGAGAGGAUGAUCAGCCUCACUGGGACUGAGACACGGCCCAGACUCCUACGGGAGGCAGCAGUGGGGAAUAUUGGACAAUGGGCGCAAGCCUGAUCCAGCCAUGCCGCGUGGGUGAUGAAGGCCCUAGGGUUGUAAAGCCCUUUCGGCGGGGAAGAUAAUGACGGUACCCGCAGAAGAAGCCCCGGCUAACUUCGUGCCAGCAGCCGCGG
rnacentral:rRNA from 1 species